UACGUAGGGUGCAAGCGUUGUCCGGAUUUAUUGGGCGUAAAGAGCUCGUAGGCGGUCUGUCGCGUCGGAUGUGAAAACCCAGGGCUCAACCCUGGGCCUGCAUUCGAUACGGGCAGACUAGAGUACGGCAGGGGAGACUGGAAUUCCUGGUGUAGCGGUGAAAUGCGUAGAGAUCCGGAGGAACACCGACGGCGUAGGCAGCGCCCUAGACGAGACCUGACGCUCAGGCACGAAAGCGCGGGGAGCGAACAGG
rnacentral:rRNA from 1 species